CUAUGGCUCAGUGAUAGAGCACUUGCCUAGCAUGCAUGAGGCACUGGGUUCCAUCCUCAGUUAUAAGA
rnacentral:tRNA from 1 species